rnacentral:lncRNA from 1 species
UCCCUUCCGGAAAGUCAACGUCUGAACAUCCCAUUUUGAUUGCUGGAAAGUUUCUCAAAUUCGGGCAUCCAGUGAGAUUGAGGUACUCGAGAGAUUCCAAGUUGAGAUCGGUUGGAAAACUCUCUAGCUUUUUGCAAUCACUCAUAUCUAAAUAGAUCAGUUUAGUGGCAUUCUGAAUCGAGGAAGGAAGUGUCACCAAAGAUUUGCAUCCAACAAGAUCUAAUUCCUCGAGGUUUAUGGCUAAAGAAAGAUCUGGAAUUUCUUUCAAAUUGUUGGAAUACCUCAAAUUCAUCUCCUUGAGACUUCCAAGGGGCUGAAAACAAAAUAUGGAAAAAGAGAAUACACACGUUCACAAAUAUACCACAGUUCUGUUCUAAAAACUGACAACUAAUAAAAUUUAGAAUUCGUACCAGAGUUCCUUCCCACAGUUUCUCAAGCUUACUAUACUUCAUUAUGAGGUUAACUAGAUAUUCCGCCUUAAAAGUAGAUGGCAAAGACUUCAAUGGACAAUCAUCCCAGUCUAGCAAUCUGAGUUUAAGGGGCAAAUAAACGAGGCUCUGAGGUAGAUCCCCGUAAUAACCAAUUUCUAGAUAUUGCAGAUUACGCAUGCCUUUGAACGAUUCUUUAUCUAUUAAUAACGGCCUUGUCGAAAAAUAUUCCUCGAAUGGCAAACGUAUUCCAAGAAGAGUUUCUGUCCCCUGAAAAAAAAUCCGAAGAAAACUAAUAUAAUCUUAACAAUCGCAACCCUUUUUAAUUUUCUGACACAUCAAAGCUACAUUUUAAUUACGCAUGAGGCAACAAUUGCUUAAGUUUAUCAAUCCCCAAAUUACGAUUAUAUUAAUAUAAAGUCAUGCAUUCAAACGGAGCUGCGAAAAAAACUUACAGUUUUCUCGGUCACUACUUCAUGAAUAUCUUCAAAAUUCGUCAGAAAUCGACGUUUUCCAGGAUUACCCUUGGACUUUGCACGAUCAAUUUCUCUACCCAAUUUCUCUAGCAAAUUGUGCAUCUCUAUAUAUCCAUCCGGUGUAAUACGUAUGAGGGACUUCUCAGUCAACAUUGUAAACCCAACAUUAUCUUUAAGUAAAUCUUUGACGUAACUGACUUCAAAACCAUUGAAUAAACACGCGAUGUAAAGGAACAUAUCUUGAUCUUUUUGAUGUAAUCUAUCGUAGCUGACUCUUAAUGUUUUCAUAAUAUCUCCGUUCAAACCAUUUCGGAGCCUAGGCAUCAUCUCCAUCCACCAUUCUUUGGUCCUUCCCUUUAAAGACGAACCAAGGACACUAAGACCCAACGGAAGAUUACCGGCAAGCUUCGCAACUUCAAAUGCUAGUUCCUUAAAAUCAUCAGGUGGAGAGUCUUUCCCAAAAGCAGAUCGGCAUAACAUCGUAAGAGCAAGAUGUUCAGAUGGGAACUCCACCUCAUAUAUAAGGUCAAUCUCAUGAGCCUUGAGAAGUUGCCUAUCUUGAGUGAUCACAAUUAUUCUGCUUCCAGAUCCAAACCAUUCAGCUUUUCCCACCAAGGUCUUAAGAAACUCUAGACUAUCCACAUCAUCAAGAAGGAUAAGAACUUUCUGUUGCUUUAACCUUUGCUCCACCACACCAAAAUGCUCUAUCUUUAUGUCCUUUUGACCUAAGAUUUCCGAGAGAAGUUCUUUUUCCCACCUCAACUUCAUGCCAGAGACGUCACUACCGCUGGUGCUUUUAUAUGUUAUGAAAGCGCGAUGGUGGAACUGGAUAGAGAGUUUACUGUAAAGAGCUCUUCCUAUGGUACUCUUACCAAUCCCUGAUUGUCCCCAAAUCCCGACCAUUAUUCUAGCUUCCUUGGAUUCCAAGCACAAUACUGAUUUUAUUGCCUCUAUAUGAUUUUCAAUUCCGACUAAGUCGCCAAAAUCAUCCGAUGGUGUCAUAGUUUUUCUCAAAACAUCCUCGGCAAGCUCUUCAAUCAUGGCUGCUUCACUAGGCCUAAUAACAAUAGUCAACUGUUUCAUUAAAGAAGCAACGCAAAACAAAAAAAUCACGAAGUCUAUUCAUUGAAAUACCAUUUCCGAAGAUCAUAUCCGGCCAUAACUGCAACAGCUGCUAGAGCUUGCUUCCAACUUUGUUUCUCAUCCUCUGAUUUAGCCUUGCAUGUCUCUUCAAAGACCUUUCCAAAUUCGCCGGUCUGUUUUUUAACUUCCGAAGCAUCAACGUGGAAGAAAAUCGGAAUCACCAUUUGAUUCAAAUUCGUAUAACACUUGUGAAUCUCCACCAAUUCAUUCAGGCACCAGGUGGAUGAAGCAUAGUUCUUAGAGAAGAUAACGAUUGCUAUUCUCGAUUCUUUUAUUGCCGAUAAAAGCUCCGGGCCGAUUGAGCGGCUCCUCUCGAUCUCAUCAUCUAUGAAUGUGAUUGCUUUGCCCCUGAGCUCCUUGAGAAGAUGGCUGAGGAAUGAGUCACGGACAUCUUCUCCACGAAAGCUUGGGAAAACGUCGUAUCUCCGGCUGCCAGAAGAAGAAGCUAUCUCCAUAUCAUCAUCUUUGGAUGUAUCCAUCAUUUCACGGUCGAGCUCGAGCUCCUUGACAAGAUGGCCACGAAACAAUUUGCCGAAAUUUUCUCCACUGAAGCUCGCGAAAACAUUGUAUAUCCAUCUGAGAACAUUGUAUAUCUAUCUGAAGCAAGAAGACGCCAUGGCAGAGGAUGAGAGAGAAGAGACGAAAUUUCUCAAAGGAAAACUCUUUGAAGUAUAUCAAUAAUACAACACAGUAACAGAGAGGAGAAACUUGGUCUUCCUUUCCUCGAAGACUUGUAUAGAAGACUUACUAUACAAGAUAUUGUUUUAGUGGUUAAAAUCAAAUCCCAUUACAAGACAAUUGGGACAAAUAAUACGUAAACUUGGUCUUCCUUUCUUAGAAGACUUGCAUAGAAGACUUACUGUACAAGAUAUUUUUUUAGUGGUUGAAAAAUCAAAUCCCUAACAAGAUAAGGCCAUAAUUAUGUGAUACAGAAACUUCCCCUUCCUUUCCUUGGAAAGCUUCUACUCUAUAACGAUAAGUCAAUUUUGUGGCUAUCAGUCGUCACUGAAUUUAUCUAUGAUGAUGAGACGUAGCCAUUCUACAAGAUUUCAAGAUAAUUUCUAGGCAAAAUAGACAGAAACUUCCUCGAGAGCUACUUUUCCUCUCCACAGAUAUUUUUGAAGACCCAAAAUUUUGUGGCUGUCAGUGGUUCAAGACAGAAACAAGAUUUCAAUUUAUUUUAACAAUGUUAAGGUUCACUAAUAUCAAAAGUCUGGUUUUCCUAUUCAUACUGUACAUACAUGCAUGGAAAUUAGGAGAAUAAUUAGUAUAUCGAUUAUGAGGAUUAUAAUUCAACUAAUAAUACAGUGAAAACACUAACAACAAACUAUCUAGUUUUCUAGAGCUGUGUGGUGUGGACAGUGGAGAGAAUAUUUUCAUGUAAAGUUUUCUUGUUUACAUUUACAAUUGUAAUAUUAGUUUAGAGUUUUGGCUUACUGUGUCAGCAACCACUGUAGGCUGCGAUUGCAUUUGCUGCCGUUUAAGGAGCAUUUGGUUUCUAAGGGUAGGUUUCAUGUACUGGAUGGAAGAAGUCGUGCUUGAGAGCAUCCUCUGCACUGAUUCGCCGUCUCGGGUUAACGGUCAAACAUCUAUCAACGAGGUCAAGGAGCGACCAUGGAAUUGCAUCUAGAAACUCCAUGCGUUUUGGGUUGAGUUCGUACCAUUUUCUCAACUCCAUCCCUUUCAAGUACCUUGACUUGUACAAUUCCUGAAACAACAACACAAAAAUCAACCUGAACUCAUCUCUCACGAUCAUCUAUCUAAUAAUUUUGUCGGUAAUUUACAUUUUUAAGAUAUAUAAUGUUUUGGAACACAAAAUGCUAACAAUGAAAACCCUUUUGUGAUAUUUGAAUCCAAAUGCUGGCGGCAAAGAAGAACAGAACAUGUAUGUUAUGUUCACACCAAUGCAGUAAUCAAAUGAAUGGAGAGUUUACAAGGGAUGAAAGAUGAGAUUUUACCUCAUGUAAAGAGGAUUCACGGUUGUGCAGCUUGGCUACUUCCCAUAAUUCUUCACUGCCUCGUAGUUGCGCAAUGUCCUUUAUGUUCCUGGGAAUGACAAGGUCGUUGUAAGACGGCAAGAAAGAAGAAAAAAGUGGAACCGAGUGAUGGUGUAUUCAGUCAAGUCAGAUCUUAACUGUUCAGGGUCACCAGUGAGAGCUUUCCUUCCCAUUAUGAGGUAUAACAAAGUAACUCCCGCAGAACACACGUCUUUUUUUAGGUCCUUGGUCCAAAGACCAUUCAGCCGAGAACAGCCCUAGAGAAUUAGCUUUUCCAUCCCAUCCUAGAUGUGUUAAUGAGUAGCUCAGGGAACAAGAUAUUUUCAUAUGGAUUUAACUAGUAUCAAGGGAAGUGAUAUAUCUGCAGGAAAAAUGGCUUGUGUCAAAACAUAUGAAAUCGUCUUGCCAUUAUCAUUAUAGUCAUGCUCGGUCCCAAGUUAUCCUAAAACAGAGGAAAACCGAAUAAUAAGAUGCUUCAGUUACCAGAACCAGAAUUCAAGAUAGGAAUUUCUUCAUCUUGUUGUUCACUUAUCAUGGAAUCAACACACAAAGAUUCCCCCUCCAGAGAUGGAUAAGAAGAAACUGAUGAUGCUUCUCCCUGCCCUAACGAAAGCUCCAUAUUUAGAGCGGUCAAGCUUGUGUCCGCUACAAUUUGGACACAGGGUAAGUUGAUAUAUUCUUCAGAUGUUCCCGAUGUCAUCUGCAUCGUAAACCAAAGGAUCGAUUCUGUUAAAUAGUCUGUCACUAAGGUAUUGAUCCUGGAAAAUAUAAUAAAACAUCAAGAGAUAGCUUUGCAAUUUUCAGUUCUAAUUAUGUCAAAAGGCUUACCCGCAUCCGCUUAUUGCUUCUCGCAGUCUCUACAACAUCACAUUUUUCUCGAGACUGUUGGCUGUACUCUGUUUCAGAGCUUCCAUCACUAUCAUCUGGAAAUGGAGACACAUUCAAGAGUCGUAUACCACAUUCUUUUAUCCUCUUGGAGCAAGAAAAGUUAAACUCCACAUCGUUGAAAGUCAAUUUAGAUGGAAGAUCUUCAGGCUGGAAGUUGAAGGAACAGAAAACCAGAUGAUCCGUCUUACACAACCGCAGGUCUGCAUCUUUAAAAAAUGAUUUGCAAUACAGUGUCCCAUUGAAGCCAGCAUUUACCUCACAAUAUGGACCCCAACUCUUGCCCUCAGUUAGAAGGUCAACCACGAUGCAAGCCUUAAAGCAAGAAUACUUGAGAAAGAGAGCUCUAAGGUAAAGUGACAGUUAGGGAAUCUCCAUAAGCUCGAUGUUGAAAAUACGUUGGCACUUCUCCACCUGGUAAGGACAUAGGCUUGAACAAUGACCGUAAGAUGAGUUCUCGCGCAUCUCCAUCCAAUUUGCAGCAGUUCUGGAAGAGAUAAUGAAAGGCCCCGAUCCGGACUACCUAAGUCCGGACGAGAUCUCUCGACCCAAGUCACUAAGUGACUCGACCCAAGUCACUAAGUGACUCGACCCUAACCAUUUAUGAGGUUCAUUCCCUAGUGUAAUCCGUUUCAUACAAUUCUGUGAUUCAAUAUAUGAGACGAAUAGAGUAAACAAACAAUCGGAUACUUUAUUAAUUAAGUAAAGGAUUCGAUACAACUUAUGAGUUUGCAUAUAAGCUAUUACAAGUAAUUUAAUCGAUCCCUAGACUAUCCGAAACUAUCACCACCCAUCAUUCCGGCCUUGAGUCUCUCGCGCCUAAGCCAAGUCCUUCCCACUAUCACCAUUGGUUCCUGAAAGUCAUAGAGCCAUAAGUAAUUUCAUUUACUUAGUCAUAUGCAAGUCCAUGCAAUGCUCCAUAGUCCUUACACUACUCGGAUCCGCGGAGAGGAUUCGGAGAAGGGAAGAUCGCGCAUAAGUCCGGCCGAUUCUCGGUAGGUCAAUUAAGACCCGCCGGUCCUCCGCCGAGCCGCGUCUCCGCCCCAGCCGAUCCCUUGCCCGGACCGAGGCUUGUGUAGGUUGCACAUGACCCGAUUCUACCCAGCCCAUUAGUCGUUCCUUUCAAGGAAUCCCGACUCAUUUAACGCAUUCUAGAAUCCUUAGACUCGAGGUCUAGGAUUCCUUACCUUCCUUCACGAUGUUCGGUCGAUCCGACCCUUCUUCUUCCUUGCCGGCCACAGUCCGCCUACCGAUUUCCUCCGAUGAUUUAUUCUCCCGAAAGGGAGAGAGUUUAAUGGUGAGUUUCCGGUAUUUUCCGUGUGUUCUGCUGCCUCUAAAGGUCUUGGGCGCCCUCCCUUAUAUAAGGAGCGAAUUGAUGCUUCCCGAAGGAUCACCUCCGUUCCUUGCACCUUUCCGAAGAGUUGCAUCUCUCGGUCCGUAACUGCUCGCCCUUAUCCACCCUUUGGGCGAGCACCCGUUCGACCGUAACCGCCCAAGUAACCGUCCGGGUAACCGCCCAGCUGGUCAGACAGUCGACCAGCUGCCUCGAGCUCAACCGUCACUCGCCCAGCUGCUCGAGCUGGACUGUCACUCAACCCGAGUAACCGUCACUCCUUCCAGCUGAGCUUGAGCUUCGGACGAGCUGACCCAGCUGAUUCCUUUACGAUCCUAGCUUAGCCCGCAUGAUUUCCCUUUGUCCGAGCUUAUGGCCAACUCCUUCCCACUUGUCCGAGACUCCACCUUCUUUUCUCGGACCAAGUCCCAGCCAACGAUCCUAUUGAGGAUCGCGGGCGUUACAAGUCUCCCCUUUGAAUUGGAUUCGACAAAUCGAAUCCAAGUUGAUCUUUACCCAUCUCCUUGAACCACUCCGGAAAAUUGGCCUUCAUCUUAGUCUCGGUUUCCCAAGUGUAUUCUUCACGGCCUCCACAAUUCCACAAGAUUUUUAACAAAUCCAUUGAUUUCCCCCGAGUCCCUUUCUUCAUUUGGUCCAUGAUCCGUACCGGCCAUGCUUCCACCGUCAUGUUCUCCUUUAACCCAGGAGGUACAUCUUCCAUGCUUUCUUCUUGUUCACUUAAGCACUUCCGUAGUUGUGAUACAUGAAAGACAUUGUGAAACGCGUCUAGUUUUGGAGGAAGGUCAAGUUUGUAUGCCACCGCCCCUACUCGUUCGAUCACUUUGUACGGGCCAACGUACCUUGGCCUUAACUUUUUCCUUGAUGUGAAUCGCCCUGCCCCUUUGUAGGUCAUCGCCUUUAAAUACACCAAGUCUCCCACUUGGAAUUCUAAUUCCUUUCGACGCUUGUUGGCGUAACUUUUCUGACGAUCUUGGGCUUCCUUUAACUUGAUUUUUAAGAACUUCAUUUUCUUCGUGGUUUCAUCCACGACCGCAGGUCCGAACAACCGACGUUCGCCCACUGGCGUCCAACACAACGGUGUUCUACCAGCUCGGCCAUACAACGCCUCAUAGGGAGACAUACCAAUACUAGCUUGAAAACUGUUAUUGUACGCAAAUUCUACUAACCUUAGAUAUUUCUCCCAGUUUCCUCCCCAAUCCAAGACGCAUGCCCUCAACAUGUCCUCGAGGGUUUGAAUCGUUCGUUCGGACUGUCCGUCCGUCUGUGGGUGAUAUGCAGUACUUAGAUUCACUCGAGUCCCUAAGACCUUUUGAAAAGGCUUCCAAAAUUUUGACGUGAACCUUGUGUCUCGGUCCGACACUAUACUAACCGGAAUCCCAUGUAAUCGCACGAUCUCGUCUAUGUACUUCUCGGCAAUGAUUUCGGCUGCAUCCUUAUCCGAGAUUGCCAUGAAGUGCGCAGACUUAGUCAAUCGGUCUACUACAACCCAUACCGCAUUGUGUUUGGACUUGAUCCCCGUCGGCAGUCCCGUGACGAAGUCCAUCAUUAUAUGGUCCCACUUCCAUUCCGGUAUAGGUAGGUUUUGUAACAUUCCACUUGGUACUUGAUGCUCUUCCUUGGCUACCCACCUGGCCACAUCUUUCUUCAUUCCUACCCAAUGGUAGUAUCUUUUAAGGUCGCGAUACAUCUUGUUCGACCCAGGAUGGAUCGAGAACUUCGAUUGAUGCGCUUCUUUUAGGAUUUCCUCCUUCAACGCCUUAUCGUUCGGCCCACAUACUCGACCGUUCACCACGAUAGUACCAUUGUUCGAGCUUUGGUACUCGGUUUUAUUGUUUUGUGCCCACCCUUUUAUUUCUUCAUCUCGUUCUUGAGCCGACCGGAUCCUACUAAGUAGGUCGGCUUGAUUGGCGGCUCUCAACCCUAAGGGUUCAACUUCCUUAGACAAAGCAUUCAAAUGCAAUGUCCCCAUCAUGUUAACCAAAUUCACUUGGUUCCUUUCCGCUUCCACUACCGUGCGCAGCCUGCUCAAAGCAUCUACAACUUGGUUGGCCUUGCCCGGAUGGUACGCUAUGUUCAAGUCGUAAUCCGCCACAAGUUUUAUCCACCUUCUUUGCCUUAGAUUUAACUCCGGCUGGGUGAAUAUGUAUUUUAGGCUCUUGUGGUCAGUAAAGAUUUGAACCUUGGCACCAUACAAAUAUGAUCGCCAAAUCUUCAACGCAAAUACUACCGCGGCCAUUUCCAAAUCAUUCGUAGGGUAGUUCUUCUCGUGUUUCCGCAAUUGCCUCGAGGCGUAUGCGAUAACACUCCCCUUUUGGAUCAAUACGCAUCCUAGUCCUACUAUGGAUGCGUCCGUGUAGACCGUAUAGGGCUCACCUUCCUCCGGUAAGACCAACACCGGUGCAUUAGUCAACAUGGCCUUUAACUCCAGGAAGCUUCUCUCGCAUUCCUCCGACCAGUUGAAUGCGGUGUCUUUUCCGGUCAAUUGAGUCAUGGGUUGGGCCAUGCUCGCAAAUCUCUCGACCCAAGUCACUAAGUGAAUGGACCCUAACCAUUUAUGAGGUUCAUUCCCUAGUGUAAUCCGUUUCAUACGAUUCUGUGAUUCAAUAUAUGAGACGAAUAGAGUAAACAAACAAUCAGAUACUUUAUUAAUUAAGUAAAGGAUUCGAUACAACUUAUGAGUUUGCAUAUAAGCUAUUACAAGUAAUAUAAUUGAUCCCUAGACUAUCCGAAACUAUCACCACCCAUCAUCCCGGCCUUGAGUCUCUCGCGCCUAAGCCAAGUCCUUCCCACGAUCACCAUUGGUUCCUGAAAGUCAUAGAGCCAUAAGUAAUCUCAUUUACUUAGUCAUAUGCAAGUCCAUGCAAUGCUCCAUAGUCCUUACACUACUCGGAUCCGCGGAGAGGAUUUGGAGAGGGGAAGAUCGCGCAUAAGUCCAGCCGAUUCUCGGUAGGUCAAUUAAGACCCUCCGGUCCUCCACCGAGCCGCGUCCCCGCCCUAGCCGAUCCCUUGCCCGGACUGAGUCUUGUGUAGGUUGCACAUGACCCGAUUCUACCCAGCCCAUUAGUCGUUCCUUUCAAGGAAUCUCGACUCAAUUAACGUAUUCUAGAAUCCUUAGACUCGAGGUCUAGGUUUCCCUUACCUUCCUUCACGAUGUUCGGUCGAUCCGACCCUUCUUCUUCCUUGCCGGUCACAGUCCGACUACCGAUUUCCUCCGACGAUUUAUUCUCCCGAAAGGACGAGAGUUUAAUAGUGAGUUUCCGGUAUUUUCUGUGUGUUCUGGUGCCUCUAAAGGUCUUGGGCACCCUCCCUUAUAUAAGGGGCGAAUUGAUGCUUCCCGAAGGAUCACCUCCGUUCCUUGCACCUUUCCGAAGAGUUGCAUCUCUCGGUCCGUAACUGCUCGCCCUUAUCCACCCUUUGGGCGAGCACCCGUUCGACCGUAACCGCCCAAGUAACCGUCCGGGUAACCGCCCAGCUGGUCAGACAGUCGACCAGCUGCCUCGAGCUCAACCGUCACUCGCCCAGCUGCUCGAGGUGGACUGUCACUCAACCCGAGUAACCGUCACCCCUUCCAGCUGAGCUUGAGCUUCGGACGAGCUGACCCAGCUGAUUCCUUUACGAUCCUAGCUUAGCCCGCAUGAUUUCCCUUUGUCCGAGCUUAUGGCCAACUCCUUCCCACUUGUCCGAGACUCCACCUUCUUUUCUCAGACCAAGUCCCAGCCAACAAUCCUAUUGAGGAUCGCGGGCGUUACAGAUAACCUGCCCUACAGGCCAAAUGUUUGUGGUUAAGGUUUUCCCAGAAACGAUGACGAGUAUACUCAAUGUUUUCAUAUAAUGGUAUAUAAGAAGAGUGAUCUUCCACACUGGCAUCACUCAUCGCCACGUUGACACCUCUACAUUCUGUAAAGUCGACGAGCUUAAGAAUUGUCAGUCUGAAAAUGUUUGGCGAGAUGUUUUUCAACCUCUUGCAACAAUACAUCAUAAGUACAGUGAGCCACGAGAAAUUUUCAAUGCAGCAGGGAACUUCUUCAAUAGCGGUGUUUUCCAGAUAGAGCCAUUUGAUACUCUUUGAAAUCAGAGGAAAAGUUCUCAAACUUGAGCAACCACUCAGAUCAAGCAUUUUAAGAGAUGACAAGUUGACAUCGGUUGGAAGAACCUCCAGCCCUGUGCAUUCUUUCAUUUCCAACCUCACCAAUUUUUGGAGAUUCCCAAUUGUAGAAGGAACUGUCACCAAACUUUUGCAAUUAGAGAGAUAUAAAUUCACCAGAUUAGUGGCCUUUGAAAGAUCUGGAAUUUCUGUCAGGUUUCCACAUUCUGACAUAUCCAUCUCCACGAGACUUGCAAGCGACUGAAACAGAAAUUAAAAAAAAAAAUUGUUAUGCUUCAAUCACUUUCAUUUUAAUUUAAUAACUAUACACAUUUAAACAAAAUUAUAAUCAAGACAUAAUUCUGUAUGUAAAUAUAAACCGUGGAAUCACAAGCCAUUUUGACAACUUUAAUUUGGUUAUACGUAAUUAUUUACAACAGAGGUUAAACAAAAAUCAGCAAAUGCUAUAAUAUUAACAAUGUACCUGGACGCCUUCCCAUAGCUUCUCAAGCAUUUGGUUGCCUCUCACUAUGAGACGAACCAGAUCAUUUGGGCGAAAUUCACAUGGCAUACAUCUCACAAGGCAGGCGAGAUAAUCAAGACCAGGGAGAUUCUUGUUCCAUAUACAAUUUUCUACGCGGAUCUCAAUUCCAUGUGGCGAAGUAGUUGAAGUUUCCAUUUUAAACACAGGGAAAUUUUUCUCAAAUUAUCGUAAUAAAGGAGACCGAGGUACUCAAGAGAUUCCAAGUUGAGAUGAGUUGGAAAACUCUCUAGCUUUGUGCAACCCCUCAUAUCUAAAUAGAUCAGUUUAAUGGCAUUCUGAAUCGAGGAAGAAAGUGUCACCAAAGAUCUGCAUUCCGAAAGAUUUAAUUCCUCGAGGUUUCUGGCAUUAGAAAGAUCUGAAAUUUCUCUCAAAUAUCUGGAACCAUGCAUAUUCAUCCUCUUGAGGCUUCCAAGUGGCUGAAAACAAAAUAGGGAAAAACAUAAUACACACAUUCAUAAACAUUUCAAAUAGAUUAAUUUUUACCACAGGUCUGUUCUAAAAAUUGACAACUAUUUCAAUGAAGAAUUAAGUACCACAGUUCCUUCCCACAGCUUCUCAAGCUUACUUCCCAUCAUUGUGAGUUGAAUGAGGUAAUCCGCCUUAAAACUAUAAGGCAAACAUUUCAAUGGACACCUAUCCCAGUCUAGCAAUCUGAGUUUAGGGGGCAAAUAAACGAGGCUCUGAGGUAGAUCCAUAUAAUCCCCAGUAACUGAUAGACAUUGGAGAUUACGCAUGCCUUGGAACGAUUUUUCAUCUAUUGGUAAUAGCUCUUUUGAUCGGAAAGCUGUGCAGAAACGUAUUCCAAGAACUGUUUCUGUCCCCUGAAAAAAAUACGAAGUAAACUAGUAUAAUGAUAUAAUCUUUACAAUGGCAACCGUUUUUAUUUUUCUGAGACAUCAAAAGAGCUAGCCACGUUUUAAUUAAGCAGGAGAGGCAACAAUUGUUAAAGUUUAUCAAUCCCCAAAUGACGAUUAAAUUAAUAUAAAGUCAUGCAUUAAAAGGCAUCUGCUAAAAACUUACAGUUUUCUCUGUCAAUACUUCUCAGAGUAUCCUCAAAAUCCGUUAGAAAUCGACGUUUUCCAGGAUUACCCUUGGACUUUGCACGAUCAAUUUCUAUACCCAAUUUCUCUAGCAAAUUGUGCAUCUCUAUAUCUCCAUCCGGUGUAAUACGUAUGAGGGACUUCUCAACCAACAUUGUAACCCCAACAUUAUCUUCAAGUAAAUCGUUGACGUAACUGACUUCAAAACCAUUGAAUAAACACGCGAUGUAAAGGAACAUAUCUUGAUCUUUUUGAUGUAAUCUAUCGUAGCUGACUCUUAAUGUUUUCAUAAUAUCUCCGUUCAAACCAUUUCGGAACCUAGGCAUCAUCUCCAUCCACUCUUCUUUGGUCCUUCGUUUUAAAGACGAACCAAGGACACUGAGACCCAAAGGAAGAUUACCGGCAAGCACUGCAACUUCAAAUGCUAGUGCCUUAAAAUCAUCAGGUGGAGAGUUUUCCCCAAAAGCAGAUCGGCAUAACAUCUUAAGAGCAAGAUCUAGAGAUGGGAACUUCACCUCAUAUAAAAGGUCAAUAUCAUGAGCCUUAAGAAGUUGCAUAUCUUGAGUGAUCACAAUAAUUCUGCUUCCAGGUCCAAACCAUUUAGUUUCCCCCACCAAGGUCUUAAGAAACUCUGGAUCAUCCACAUCAUCAAGAACGAUAAGAACUUUCUUCUGAUUUAACAUUUGCUCCACUACACCUAACUUCCCUCCUAUCUUUAUAUCCUUACCAAGAAUUUUUGACAGAAAUAUUUCUUCCCAUUCAGACUUCAUGCUAUAGACGUGAGGUACGAAAGCGUGAAAGUGGAAUUGGCAAAAGAGUUGACUGUAUAGAGCUUUUCCUAUGGUACUCUUACCAAUCCCUGAAGGCCCCCAAAUCCCAACCAUUCUAGCUUCCUUGGAUUCCAAGCACAAUAUUGAAUUCAUUGCCUCUAAAUGAGCUUCAAUUCCGACGAAAUCGCCAAAAGAAUUCGAUGGUGAAAUAAGCUUAUUCGAAACAUCAUUAGCUAUCUUUACAACCAUGGCUGCUUCACUAGGCCUAAUAACAGUAGUCAAAUUGUGUCAAUAAAGAGGCACCCCUAAAGCACACAAUCCAAAAAAAGAAGAAGCAGAUAGCAUAGUUCAGAGAUAAUUAAAAACACACUCAGAGAUAAUGAAAUCAAAAACAAAGUACCCGUUUCGAAGAUCUUCUCCGGCUAUAUUUGUUAUGUCUACUAGAGCUUGCAUCCAUCUUUGUUUCUGAUCCUCUUCUUUGUCCUCGCAUGUCUUUUUAAAAACAUCGCCAAAUUCGCCGGUCUGUUUUCUAACUUCCGAAGGAUCAACGUCGUAAAAAACUGAAAUCACCAAUUGACCCCAAUCAUUUAAGCGAUUGUGGAUCUCAACCAAUUCAUCCAAGCACCAAGUGGAAGAAGCAUAGUUCUUAGAGAAGAUCACGAUUGAGAUCCUUGCUUCUCUAAUCGCUGAUAUUAGCUCAGGGGCUAUUGUACGGCUUCGUUCGAUGCCAUGAUCCAUGAAUGUAUUGAUUGAUCUGCGGUCGAACGCCUCGAGUAGAUUGCUGAGGAACGUCUUGCGAACAUCUACCCCACUGAAGCUUGGGAAAACAUCGUAUCUCCGGCUGCAAGAAGAAGAAGCCGCCGCCAUGGAAUAUGAUGAGGAGAAGAUAAGUACAGUAAAUCGAAUACACAGUGAUUAUUGAUUAGAGUGAUUACUGUGAGGCCGGUCCUUAAGGGUGGGAUGCGCAAGGAAACUUCUUAUUUUUUGCCCAUAGGCCAUAAAUAUAAAAAUGUAGCGAAAUGUUUGUAAUGAGGUUCGAACCAAGGCCAAUGAAGCAUUUAAAACCUGAUUUCAAGUAUUCAACCGCUCAACUACAAGUUAUGAUGCCUCUUAAAUCAAUAUUAGAUUUAUUUUGGUGUCCAAGGUCUUUGCUUAUUGUAAAAAGGACAGCUUAUCGUAAACAUGUUGAGUGGGGAAUUCAGUCUUUGUUUCCCUAUACUUACAUGCAUAGAAACUAGGAGAAUUUGUAAGUAUAUCAAUUAUGAGGAUUUUAAUUCACAUAAUAAUAUAGUGAAAACAUUAACUAUCUAGUUUGUUAAAAAAAAAACUCUUUUAGCUUUCUAGAGUUGUGUGGUGUGGUGUGGAUGGACAGUGGAGUGAAGAUUUCUAGAAACUCUCUGCGUUUUGUGUUGAGUUCUCCUCAUUUUCUCAACUCCAUCCCCUUCAAGUACCUUGACACGUACAAUUCCUGAAACAACAACACAAAAAUCUAUGUGAAUUCAGCUCUCACGAUCAUCUAUCAAAUCACUUUAUCAGUAAUUUACAUUUUAAAGUUAUAUCAUGUUCUGGACUAACAAUGAAAACCAUUUUAUGUGAUAUUUGAAUCCAUAUGCUGGUGGCAAAGAAGAACAGAGCAUUUGUAUUAUGUCACACAAAUUCAGCAAUCAAGUGAAUGGAGAGUUUAUAAGGGAUGUAAGAUGAGAUUUUACCUCAGGCAAAGAGGUUUCACGAUUGCAGCUUGGCUACUUCCCAUAAGUCUUCACUGCCUCGUAGUUACUCAAUGUCCUUUAUGUUCCUAGGAAUCACAAGGUCGUUGUAAGACGGCAAGAACGAAAAAAGAGUGGAAUCGACUGAUGGUGUAUUAUAUUUUUAUUUAUUAUUAUUAGGUCAUUGGUGCAAAUAUCUGAAGCAAACCUGCACAAACCAAUUCAGCUAAAAUAAGCACCAGAGAAAUUAGCUUUCACAUCCUAAAUGUGACAAUGACUAGCUCACUUGACCUCAGGGUCGUGAUUGAGUUUGGUGGUUGUGGCCGGUGAGUAGGACGGGUGGAAGCUGGUUUUGUAUGUAUGGGGCAGUGGUGGUGCUGAGUUAUGUUGUAAUCACUGUUUUUUACUGUGAGUGUAGGAAACGCCAUGGUAGCAGUGAUGCAUUUAAUGCUGAUGAGGUUGCUAUUUAAAAAUUUAGUUCCAACACUUUUUUGUUGUUGAUAAUUCUCUUGUGAAAUACAUUUUUCUUUACCGAAUUUAUUCAUUGAUUUAAAGAGAGAAAAAUAACCUUUGGUAACAUACACGUAGAGAGAUAUGUGUGUUUCAAAAGACAAGACUGUUAUAUUUACAUCUUUUCAGGAAAGCGAAUUUUUCAAAGAAGCAAAACAGAGAGAAGUAAGAACAGAGUGGUUCUGCUGUUCUGGACAUGGAACCAUAAAAGUUUUCUAGUUGUCAGUGCUCCAUCAUCUGCAGGAGAAAAUGGCUUGUGUGAAAAACUAAGAAAUCGUCUUGUCAUUACCAGUAUAGUCAUGGUCGAUCCCAUGUUCAUUAUAAAACAGAGUUGUAAUACGUUUCAGGUUACCUUAACAAUGUGAUAAGCUGUAGAGACGGCUAAGGAUCCAGGAAAGGAAUCUUAACAAUGUGAUGGUGUGAAUUCAGUCAAGGCAGAUCUUAACUGUUCAGGGUCAGCAGUGAAAGGUGUCGUCCCCAUCAGACCAUACGUUUUAUUUAGGCCCUUGAUGCAAAGAUCUGAAGCAAACCAAUUCAGUCAAGAACAGCCCCAGAGAAUGAGCUUCCCAUCCUAGAUGUUCUAGUGAGUAGUUCAGGCCUACAACUUUCACUCUUCUCGAUAUAAUUAAAGAGUGCAGCGGCAUAGGGGAACAGCAGCGACAUAUUUUCUCAUCGACGUAGGAUAGCUGGAUGAUACUUCAUGGUUUGGAAGUGGACCAGACAAUGUCUCCUGUAGAAAGUUUAAAAGCUCUUUCCUUCACCCGAAGGAUUGUUCCUUAUGCUGGUUACAUCUUUGGCCGAAGUUAGGCCAAAAACGCUUCUGCCUUUUGGCUAUUGAAUCAGCGGAUAUGCAAAUGUUGCUGAUUCUUGUUGUUUUCUGUACCCAAAGUCUGAUUUAUUCAUUGCUAAUAAAGAGAAAAACAACCUUUACUAACAUAAACAUUGAGAUCUAUGUUUUAAAAAGGCAAGACUAUUUUGGGUAGUACCUGCACUCAAGCAGGUACGCUCCCAAAUUCAAUGUCUUUCUUAAAAAUAGAAUAUGUUUUUACAAAACAAAACAAUGCCAAAGAUGUUUUUCCAGAAUAUGCUAAAGUAUGGCUUUCUGAAACAUUUAUUCUUUCAGGAAAAGUGAAAUGUUCAAAACAAACGCAGAGCUGGAUAAUGUAACGGACUUUGGUUCUCCUAAAGAUCUUCAUCAUCUGCAGUUAAUUAUCAUUAUCAUUAUAGUCAUAGUCGAUCCCAAGUUAUCCUAAAACAGAGUAAAACAGAAUGAUAAGAUGCUUCAGUUACCAGAAUCAGUAGACAAGAUAGGAAUUUCUUCAUCUUGUUCUUCAGUUAUCAUGUAAUCAACACACAAAGCUUCCCCCUCUAGAGAUGUUGAUGAUGAUGCUUCUCCCUGCCCUAACGAAAGCUCCAUAUUUAGAGCGGCCAAUCCUGAGUCCGCUACAAUUUGGCCAUAGGGUAAGUUGAUAUAUUCUUCAGAUGUCCCCGAUGUCAUCUGCAUUAUAAAUCAAACGAUCGAUUCUAUUAAAUAGUCUGUCCCUAUGGUGUUUCGAUCCUGAAAAAUCAAACCAAAAGUCAAAAGAUAGCUUUAUAAUUUUCAGCUCUAAUCAAAAGUCAAAAGAUACCCCCAUCCGCUUCUCGCUUCUCGUAGUCUGUUGGUUGUACUCUGUUUCUUGAUAGACAUACAAGAGUCGUACACCGCAUUCUUUGAUCCUAUUGGAGCAACAAAAUUUAAACUCCAUUCAGACCAGAUCUUGAAGGAACAGAAAAACAGAUGAUCCGUCUUACAAAACUGCAGGUCUGCAUCUUCAAAAAAUGAUUUCUGAUACUGUUUGCCAUUGAAGCCAACAUUUACCUUCAAGGAUGGAUAAAAACCCUUGCCCUCGGAGGGAGGUUCAACCACGACGCAAGCCUUAAAUGGAAAGAAGUAUUGAGAAAGAGAGCUCUGAGGUAAAGUGACAGUUAGGGAAUCUCCAUAAGCUCGAUACGUGAAAUACUUAGGGAUUUCUCCACCUGGUAAGGCCACAUGCUUGAAGCAUGAUCGUAGGAUAAGUUCUCGCGCAUCUCUUUCCAAUUUGAAGCAAUUGCAGAAGCUAAAGGAUUCCCUACGUAAGCGCCAAUCUACGACGUAGUUCUUAUAAUCAUCAUCAUACAACGCAUCCCAGAAACGUUCACAUGUAUAUUCAAUGUUUUCAGAUAAUGGUACACAAGAAACGUGAUCUUCCAUUGUCGCUACCACAGUUGCAUCACUCAACGCCUUGAUGACACCUCUACAGUCUGUAAAGUCGGCGAACAUUAGACUUCUCAGUCUGAAAAUGUUUGGGGAGAUGUUUUUCAACCUCUGGCAACAAUACAUCAGUAGUACACGGAGCCUCGUGAAAUCCUCAAUGCAGCAGGGAACUUCUCCAAUGGCGGUGUUUUCCAGAUAGAGCCAUACAAUAUUAGUUGAAAUCAGAGGAAAAGUUCUCAAACUUGAGCAACCACUGAGAUCGAGGAUACCCAGAGAUGACAAGUUGACAUCGGUUGGAAGAACCUCCAGCCCUGUGCAUCUUUUCAUGUACAAACGUCUCAAAUUUUGAAGAUUCCCAAUUGUAGAAGGAAGUGUCACCAAACUUUUGCAGUUGUUGAGUAUCAAAGACUCGAGCUUGGUGGCCUUUGAAAGAUCUAGAAUUUCUUCAAUGGCGGUGUUUUCCAGAUAGAGCCAUUUGAUACUCUUUGAAAUCAGAGGAAAAGUUCUCAAACUUGAGCAACCACUGAGAUCGAGGGUUUCGAGAGAUGACAAGUUGACAUCGGUUGGAAGAACCUCCAGCCCUGUGCAUUCUUUCAUUUCCAACCUCACCAAUUUUUGGAGAUUCCCAAUAGUAGAAGGAAGUGUCACCAAACUUUUGCAGUUGUUGAGAUAUAAAUGCUUCAGAUUGGUGGCCUUUGAAAGAUCUGGAAUUUCUGUCAGGUUUUCAGAUUCUGACAGAUCCAUCUCUUCGAGACUUCCAAGCGACUGAAAAAAACAUUAUCGAUGAUAAUCAUUUUAAUUUUAUACCUAUAUAUGUUUAAAAUUAUAAUUAAACAUUAUUACGUAUGUAUGUAAGACAUAACCGUGGAUCGACCACAAGCCAUAAAAACAAAUUUGGGUAUACUUAAUUAGUUAUAUAACAGAAGGUAAACAAAAAUCAGCAUAGCAUUAACAAUGUACCUGGAUGCCUUCCCAUAGCUUCUCAUGCUUGUAGCACCUCACAUUGAGAAAAACGAGAUAUUCUGGGCGAAAUUCACAAGGCAUACAUCUCAUAAGGCAGUCGAGAUAAUCUAGUCCAGCAGGGAGAUUCUUGUUCCAGAAACAAUCUUCUACCACGAUCUCAUUUCUCCCUUCCGGAAAGUCAACGUCUGAACAUCCCAUUUUGAUUGCUGGGAAAUUUCUCAAAUUCGGGCAUCCAGUGAGAUUGAGGUACUCGAGAGAUUCCAAGUUGAGAUCGGUUGGAAAACUCUCUAGCUUUUUGCAAUCACUAAUAUCUAAAUAGAUAAGUUUAAUGGCAUUCUGCAUCGAGGAAGGAAAUGUCACCAAGGAUUCGCAUUUACAAAUAUCUACUUCCUCGAGGUUUAUGGCUAAAGAAAGAUCUGGAAUCUCUUUCAAAUAUUUGGAACCACGCAGAAACAUCUGCUUGAGUCUUCCAAGUGGCUAAUAACAAAAUAGGGGAAAAGAGAGUACACACGUUAGUGAACAUUUUAAACAGAUUCAUUUUAGUUUUUCUAACAGAUUUAUGUUUAGAAAUUGAUCACUAAUAGAAUUAGUACCUGAGUUCCAUCCCACAGCUUCUCAAGGUCACUAUUCUCCAUUCUGAGUUUAACCAGAUACUCAACCUUAAAAUUAGAAUGCAAACGCUUCAAUGGACAAUUAUUCCACAAUAGCAAUCUGAGUUUACUAGGGAAAUAAACGAUGCCCUGAGUGCCUUCCAUACGUGAGCAAUCAACUGAUAGAUAUUCGAGAUUACACAUGCCUUCUAAUGAUUUUAAAUCUAUUAAUAGCACCCCCGAACAAUAUAACGUCCUCAGUUUAAUGGCAUUCUGAAUCGAGGAAGGAAGUGUCACCAAAGAUUCGCAUUCAGAAAGAUUUAAUUCCUCGAGGUUUAUGGCUAAAGAAAGAUCUGGAAUUUCUUUAAAAUAUUUGGAAUACCACAAAUUCAUCUUCUUGAGACUUCCAAGGGGCUGAAAACAACAUAUGGAAAAAGAGAAUACACACGUUCACAAUUUUUUUAAAACAGAUUCAUUUGAAGCUUUUCUAACAUAUAUAUGUUCAUAAAUAUACCACAGUUCUAUUCUAAAAACUGACAACUAAUAAAAUUUAUAAUUCGUACCAG